rnacentral:lncRNA from 1 species
CAUCGCUUGCAUAGUUAAUUUUCAAAAUCUUCGACAACCGUUUUUUUUUUGCGGAGAAGGAAAUGAGGGAGGUUAGAAUUAACAUAUUUUUAAUUUUAUGAAUAUCGUUGGAAAAAUGGUUAGUUAAAGGUAUUAACACUUGAGUAUAUCAGAUAGAUCAAAUUCUUUCUCUAAAAAGAAAAAAAAAUCACAAUAUCAUUAUACAAAAUAUUUGAACCCCUCUCCACCCCAAACCAAAAAAAAAGAAAAAAACUGUGCCUUAUUGAAGUUGGACGCAAGUAAAAGAAAUUCACAAAAAUCAGAUGUCAAUCCAUUGAUCACGUCUCAUUCAUUAUUUUCCUAUAAAUAUUUUCAUAUAAUAUCACCCAAUUCAACAGUCAAUUCUAGUAAAAUUAUAGUAUAAAAAAUGUGCACUUCAUUAAUUUAUGUACUUAUAUGUGUUCUACAAGUUU